rnacentral:rRNA from 1 species
GACGAACGCUGGCGGCGUGCUUAACACAUGCAAGUCGAACGAAAAGGCCCUGCUUUUGUGGGGUGCUCGAGUGGCGAACGGGUGAGUAACACGUGAGUAACCUGCCCUUGACUUUGGGAUAACUUCAGGAAACUGGGGCUAAUACCGGAUAGGAGCUCCUGCUGCAUGGUGGGGGUUGGAAAGUUUCGGCGGUUGGGGAUCGACUCGCGGCUUAUCAGCUUGUUGGUGGGGUAGUGGCUUACCAAGGCUUUGACGGGUAGCCGGCCUGAGAGGGUGACCGGCCACAUUGGGACUGAGAUACGGCCCAGACUCCUACGGGAGGCAGCAGUGGGGAAUAUUGCACAAUGGGCGGAAGCCUGAUGCAGCAACGCCGCGUGCGGGAUGACGGCCUUCGGGUUGUAAACCGCUUUCGCCUGUGACGAAGCGUGAGUGACGGUAAUGGGUAAAGAAGCACCGGCUAACUACGUG